rnacentral:rRNA from 1 species
AGCGAACGCUGGCGGCAGGCCUAACACAUGCAAGUCGAACGAACCUUUCGGGGUUAGUGGCGGACGGGUGAGUAACACGUGGGAACGUGCCUUUAGGUUCGGAAUAACUCAGGGAAACUUGUGCUAAUACCGAAUGUGCCCUUCGGGGGAAAGAUUUAUCGCCUUUAGAGCGGCCCGCGUCUGAUUAGCUAGUUGGUUGAGGUAAUGGCUCACCAAGGCGACGAUCAGUAGCUGGUCUGAGAGGAUGAUCAGCCACAUUGGGACUGAGACACGGCCCAAACUCCUACGCGAGGCAGCAGUGGGUAAUCUUGCGCAAUGGGCGAAAGCCUGACGCAGCCAUGCCGCGUGAAUGAUGAAGGUCUUAGGAUUGUAAAAUUCUUUCACCGGGGACGAUAAUGACGGUACCCGGAGAAGAAGCCCCGGCUAACUUCGUG